GACGAACGCUGGCGGCGUGCCUAAUACAUGCAAGUCGAGCGGACAGAUUAAGAGCUUGCUCUUAUGACGUUAGCGGCGGACGGGUGAGUAACACGUGGGCAACCUGCCCUUUAGACCGGGAUAACAUCGAGAAAUCGGUGCUAAUACCGGGUAAUAUCUGAGAUCACAUGAUCUUAGGUUAAAAGAUGGCUUCGGCUAUCACUACAGGAUGAGCCCGCGGCGCCUUACCUAGUGGGUAAGGAAAGGGCUUACCAAGGCGCAGUUGCGUAGCCGACCGUGAGGGUGAUCGGCCCCACUGGGGCUGAGACACGGCCCAGACUCCUCCGGGAGGCAGCAGUGGGGAAUCUUCCGCACUGGACGAGAGUCUGACGGAGCACCGCCGCGUGAGUGAUGAAGGGUUUCGGCGCGUAUAGCUCUGUUGUUAGGGAAGAAACAGUACCGAACGAACUAGGUCGGUACCUUGACGGUACCUAACCAGAAAGCCACGGCUAACUACGUG
rnacentral:rRNA from 1 species